rnacentral:rRNA from 1 species
AACGAACGCUGGCGGCAGGCCUAACACAUGCAAGUCGCACGAGAAAGCUCUAGCUUGCUAGGGCGAGUAAAGUGGCGCACGGGUGAGUAACGCGUGGUUAAUCCACCCUUUGGUCUGGGAUAACGCGCCGAAAGGUGCGCUAAUACCGGGUAAGACCACGAUGUCUGCGGGCAUUGAGGUAAAAGAGGGCCUCUACAUGUAAGCUCUUGCCUGAGGACGAGACCGCGUCCCAUUAGCUUGUUGGUGAGGUAACGGCUCACCAAGGCCGCGAUGGGUAGCUGAUCUGAGAGGAUGAUCAGCCACACUGGGACUGGAACACGGCCCAGACUCCUACGGGAGGCAGCAGUGCGGAAUCUUGCGCAAUGGGGGAAACCCUGACGCAGCCACGCCGCGUGGGUGAAGAAGGCCUUCGGGUCGUAAAACCCUGUCAGGUGGGAAGAACCGCAAUCGGACGAAUAAUCCGCUUGCCUGACGGUACCACCAAAGGAAGCACCGGCUAACUCCGUGCCAGCAGCCGCAGUAAAAC